UGGCGCAAGGGUGAGUAAUGCAUAGAUUACCUACCUCUAGGAUAAGGACAACUUUGUGAAAACGAAGCUAAUACUUAAUAAUACAAAAGAAAAUAAUUUUCAUUUGUCAAUGGGAGGGUAGCAAUACCUUUUGCCUGGAGAGGGGUUUAUGUCCUAUCAGCUUGUUGGUGGGGUAAUGGCCUACCAAGGCGAAGACGGGUAGCCGGUCUUAGAGGAUGGUCGGCCACACUGGGACUGAGACACUGCCCAGACUUCUACGGAAGGCUGCAGUCGAGAAUCUUUCGCAAUGCCCGAAAGGGUGACGAAGCGACGCCGCGUGAGUGAGGAAGGCCUUCGGGUUGUAAAGCUCUGUCAGGAGUUAAGAAAUAUAAGUGUGCUAAUACCGCAUUUAUUUGACAAAAGCUCCAAAGGAAGCCACGGCUAACUCUGUGCCAGCAGCCGCGGUAAUACAGAGGUGGCAAGCGUUGUUCGGAAUUAUUGGGCGUAAAGAGCACGUAGGUGGGUUCGUAAGUCAGAUGUGAAAGCCUUCUGUUCAACGGAAGAAUUGCAUCUGAAACUGCGAGUCUUGAGUGUAGGAGGGGAGAAUGGAACUUCUGGUGGAGCGGUGAAAUGCGUAGAUAUCAGAAGGAACGCCGGCGGCGAAAGCGAUUCUCUGGCCUAUUACUGACACUCAGUGUGCGAAAGCUAGGGGAGCAAACGGGAUUAGAUACCCCGGUAGUCCUAGCCGUAAACGAUGGGCACUAA
rnacentral:rRNA from 1 species